UACGUAGGGGGCAAGCGUUGUCCGGAUUUAUUGGGCGUAAAGAGCGUGUAGGCGGCCAGGUAGGUCCGCUGUGAAAACUCGAGGCUCAACCUCGAGAUGUCGGCGGAAACCAUCUGGCUAGAGUCCGGAAGAGGAGAGUGGAAUUCCACGUGUAGCAGUGAAAUGCGUAGAUAUGUGGAGGAACACCGAUGGCGAAGGCAGCCCCCUGGGUUAACACUGACGCUCAUGCACGAAAGCGUGGGGAGCAAACAGG
rnacentral:rRNA from 1 species